UCGAGCGACUCCACUCUGAUUCUUGGCUCUGCGAGGAACAGCGAAAAUGUCUGACGGCGAAGGAGGAAGCGCUGCUGGAGAUAAGAAGCGCAGGGGAAGGCCGAAGAAGCCCGAAACCGAGACGAAGGCAGCCGUCAAACGCAAGGCGUCGUCUUCUGAUGCUUCUGCCGCCAAAAAACCCCGUGGACGCCCUAAGGGUAGCAAGAAACGCGGACGCAAGCCCAAAUCCAAGAAAGUCGAAAAGACGGUGGACGAGGGACAGGAGUAAAUAUCGGCCCUGCUCAGCUCGCCCCCAAUCUCUGAUGUGUAUUAUGAUAAUUUGACAAAUUCCGCGAUCCGAUGUAUUUGGCUGCCGCGCAUCAGAUUGAGAAUAAACUGAAUCUCUGAAGUA